AAUAGGCAAUUUAUGGAUUUUUGAGAAAUUUUUUUUAUCACAGGCAAUAUGAUCACUGGCCCCAGAAUCAAUUAUCCACUUAUCAUUGGAAAUUGAAUUCGCCAAACAAUAUGAAGUACCUGUGAAGCUUCCAGUCUUGUCAGAUGUGUCCAAUUUUUUGAAAGCCUUCAUAAGUUCUUGAUAUUGCUCUUGGUCAAUUGGCUGAUGUUGUCCUGUAACCUGAAAGACAGUUGAAAAAUCCUUCUUUCCUUUCUCUCCAGGCUUGCCAUGUAGUUUCCAGCAAUUAUCAAUUGUGUGAUGAGGGCGCUUGCAAUAAUCGCAGUAUAAUUUACCUUUGCCCUUGAAAUUUCCGUUUAAUGUUGCAGCAUAUGGCGGUCCAAUUGGACCUUUUAAAUAGGGCGAGCUCGCUGCUUCUUGUGGACCGUCGGAUGUGAAGAAAGAGCACGGGCCGUCGGAUCCUGUGGGGAGCGAGAUCACAUGCGAGCCGUCCAAUGCUGCUGAGAAGAAUCCUCGGUGACCGUCGGAUAUGAUCAGUGGGUGCGAGCCACGUGAGCCGUUGGAUCGCCUUGAAGAAUCGUGGCCGUCCACUCCUCCUUUCCUUAGGGUUCGAGAAUCUUCAACAAACCCUAAGUUUUGCCCGAUUCUCCCCCUUUUUGCUGCUCCUCUCUCCAAAGCACUGCCAUGUACAGCAAGUGCGAUUCCUUCUUCGGGAUUGUCAAGCACAGCAAGGCGCUGGCUUUCCUCUUGCGUUGCAAGUUGGUAGAUCCGAGCGAGGGUUGGCGUUGGAUCCAUGGUGAGUAUCUGCGUCCGGAAAGAGAGGUACGAUUCAUUUAGGGCAAGGAGAAAUCUUGUGACUUUUUCUCGUUCCCGGAUGGUUCGAUAUUGUUGAAGCGUCGACUCAGGUCCUUCUAAUUUUUCUUCCACCGCGUCUAAUUCAUUCCAUAACGCUGAGAUCUUGUUGUAAAUGGUGGCUACGCUCAUGUUUCCCUGUUUCAAUUCCGAAAGCUGUUGGGUUAGUGAAAAAACUCGAACCCGAUCCAAUUUCCCGUACAUUUCUUUUAUAUUUUCCCACAUCUGUUUUGGGUCUUCCGUCGGCGGUAAUCCGGCCGCGACUUCGGAAGUAACACAGUUUCCGAUCCAUGUCCGGACCAACUGGUUACACUUCCUUCAUAGUCGUGCCUGCCGCUCGUCGGAUGGGAUUGGAAUCGUUCCAUCAAUAAACCCAUCUUUUUCUUUGGUCACCAAUGCACGCCGGAAUUCACGGGACCAGCUUGAAUAGUUGUCGGCCUCGGUGAGUUGCUGGGUGAUGAGCCGUAGCUCUGGCCCGUCAGCCGUUGUGGUGUAAAGCGGAUCGCUGGGUUCCGGCUUGCCACUGUUGGUGAAGAUCUGAUAUGGAAAGGGACUCGGUGCAGGAAUCUGGUAGGGAUUUGCGCCUUGAUCCAAACCGCCCAAGCCAAAAACGUGACUCGCAUUUUGAAAUCCCGGGUAGGGAUUCGUUCCCAUACCCGGUCCAAUUGAACCGCCCGUCUGCUCCGAGCUGAUGGCAGGAUUUGCCCCAUCACUGGUUGGUAGAUCUCCGUCGGCUCGCACGCUGCUUUGGUAGCCAGGCGAUGAUGCAUUGGGAAUUGACCCAUGAUACCAUGGAUACGGCAUCCAUUGGUAGGGAUAGCCCGCGAAGGAUUGUCCUGUAUUAGCCUGAGCCUGAUGCUGCCAUUGCACGUGCGGUUGCUGAAUUUGUUGUUUUGGUGCAGAGAUGACAAUAGAUGAAUCUUGAUUUCCAAUGGGUUGCAUCGGUGCUUCUGUUGCAGACUGGUCGGCUGAAAACGAGGUAAGAUCUUCUGGUUUUGUCAUGUUGAAAAGAAAAUUGAUUCCUCUGCUAACUCCUUUCACAGAUGAGGUUCCUCACUUUAGGUAAUCAACACUGUGAUUCCUUCGGCAACACUUUGUCUGGAAUUUGGAGUGGCUUACGAGGUAAUCGGAGCGGAAGUGGAAAAAGGUUGCUCUGAUACCAUGUCAGAAACUGAGGUAGAAGAUGAAUGCAAAGAACUGUAAGAAGGAGACGUGGGAAAUUUUCUGUGUAUUCUUUUCUGUAUCGAUUGAUGUACAAAGUCGAUCUCUAUAUAAUACAAUUUGUCUAAUAAUAAAGAAAGAAAGAUUAUAUUCCUUUAAUCUAUGUGUAUCAGAUCUAAUCCUAAAUUGACUAAAAUAAAUUAUCUGCAUCUCUUAAGAUAUACACCAGAUCAGUAUCAUAUCUUCCAACACAUGGACAAGUACAGAUAUGCUGAUUGCUCUUGUUCUGCUCAGUUUCGCAUCUUCAGUUUAGGAGAAUGUUUACAUGACGUGUCUACAAGAAUUUUUUUACGACAGAGAAGGAGAAACCAAACCACAAGAAAGCAAGGAAUGGAAAAGACCAUCAUUGACGACUUAGGAAAAAGCAUGAAUUUAGCGGAUCUGAUCAGGUCAAUAGCUUGCCACAGCAGAAUUCAGAGGCCCUGCUUUUAGAAUCCGAUGAGGAAGAUUUCUUUGUAUCCGCUCUACUUAAGAAAAAGUCUUCUGCAAAGGACUCAGAAUCCCAGUUGUAGUCAUUUCAACACCACUAGAUGUUGUCAAGACGAAGCGAAAGCAUGCUGGAAGCACCGCCAUGAAAUCAUCUGAAAGUUUGUCUGCUUUUGUUGGCUGUGAACCUGGAAGGUAAUUGACUAAAUUAGAGACUUAACAAUAUGUUACCUUUUUCACCUUUUCCACAAGAAGAGUUUUCAUUGAUUUGCUGGAAAUGCUUUGUCUGCACACUUAUCUCAGUUUGAAUAGGUUAUGUAAUGUCUAACUGAAGAUAAUAGUUCAGGAAUGGUUUCUUGACUAUUGUUAGAAAUGGAACUUAUGUUUUAGUUACUCGUAUAAAGCACAGGGCCUCCCUAUAAACAUUAUAAAAUCAGAUACACUCGGAUGCAUAUAUUCCAUCUAACAUCUUGAUACAUUCGAAUCGGCACUGCAAAAAAAAAAAUGAAGAGUAAAUUGCAUAUCGGGGAGGGAGAAAUGCAGAAUCAAGCAUGGCGGGAAGACAAGGAGCCCAAAGCCGAUGAUCAGAGUAAAAAGCGUUCUACAGUUGAGAUUGAGCGAGUUCCAAGUGGAGAGAAUUGCAAGAAGUCCAUAAAGAAGAAAAUGAAGGACAAUAGCUUGCCACAACAAAAUCCCGAGGGCCGGUCAUCAGAACCUGACCCUGAAGAUUUCUUCGUAUCUUCUCUAGUGAAGAAAAAGUCUUUUGCGAAGGACUCAAAGACAAGGGUCCCAGAUAUAGUCAUUGAAACGCCGCUAGAUGUUGCCAAGAAGGAGCAAAAGUAAAAUGGAUGCACGGCCGUGAAAUCAUCUGAAAGUUUAUCUCCUUCUGUUGUCAACGCCGAACCUGGAAGUCAUUUGACUGAAUUAGAGACUUGAUAAUAUGUUGCCUAUUUUACCUUCUUCUUUUUUACGAGAAGAGAAGUCAUUUAUAUGCUGAAAAUGCGUCAGCUUCGCACUUAUCUCAAUUUGAAUAGGUCAGGUACCGUCUCAAGGACUCUCGACCAUGGUGAGACUUGGAACUUAUGUUUUAGUUACUCAACCAGAAAUUUUCCAAAAUGGUUGUGCUUGAA